CUUUUUACAGUAAUCAAGAAUGUCAUUAAUAAAUGGAGGUGAACAGUUGUGUCUUUAAAUUUGUCUUAUAAAUUUAUAUAAUUAAAAAGUCAAAAAUUUAGAUGUCAUGAAGAUAAUUUAUUUUUUAACAAAAUACUUCCCCCGUUUCAUAUUAGUUGGCCUCUAUUGACUUGGCACACCCAUUAAGAAAAUCUUAAUUAGAGGUUUAUUUUACCAAAUUAGUAAUUAUGCUUUGAAAAUAUAUGUUUGAGUAAAUACACUUUGUUUAGUCAUUUAAUGUUAAGGGUAGUAUUGAAAGAACAUAAUAAAAUUCUCUUGAUCUCAUCAAAUGGACAACCAAAUUGAAACAAAUAUUUUUAGAAAGAUGGCCAACUAAAAUGAGACGGAGAAAGUAUAUAUAUUAUAAAUUGAACAGAUAUAUUAUCUGAUGCAACAAGUUAUCUAUUUAUUGCAACGGAUGAUAUAUCUAUUGUAACAGAUGAUUUAUCUGAUGCAACAGAUAUAUAAUUAGUUAUCCAACUCACUGUAAAAAAAUGAUUCCUGAAAAGAACUAAUUAUUUUCAUAAUAAUAAAGUUGAAAAGUCAUGACUUAUCACAAUAUUGCUUAAUUGAAUUAAGUCAUAACUUUUUAUAGUAAUCAAGAAUGUCAUUAAUAAAUGGAGGUGAACAGUUGUGCCUUUAGAUCUGCUUUAUUAAUUUAUAUAAUUAAAAAUUCAGAAAAUUUGGGUGUCAUGAAGAUAAUUUUUUUUUAAAUAUAUAUAUUAUAUGUUGCAACAAAUAUAUUAUCUGAUGCAACAGGUUAUCUAUUUGUUGCAACGGAUGAUAUAUCUAUUGUAACAGAUAUAUAAUCUGUUGUCCAACUCAGUGUACAAAAAAUGGUUUCUGAAAAGAACUAAUUAUUUUAAUAAUAAUAAAGCUGAAAUGUCAUGACUUAUCACAAUAUUGCUUAAUUUAAUUAAGUCAUAAUUUUUUACAGUAAUCAAGAAUGUCAUUAAUAAAUUAAGGUGAACAGUUGCACCUUUAAAUCUGCUUUAUAAAUUUAUAUAAUUAAAAAGUCAGAAAAUUUGGAUGUCAUGAAAAUAAUUUUUUUUUAAAAAAGAUAUAUUGAUUAUAUGUUGCAACAGAUAUAUUAUCUAAUGCAACACGUUAUCUAUUUGUUGCAACGGAUUAUAUAUCUGUUGUCACAGAUGAGUUAUCUAAUGUAACAGAUAUAUAAUAUGUUGUCCAACUCAAUGUAAAAACGAUUUUUUGGAAAAAACUAAUUAUUAAAAAUAAUAAAGCUGAAAAGUCAUGACUUAUCACAAUAUUGCUUGAUUUAAUUAAGUCAUAACUUUUUACAGUAAUCAAGAAUAUCAUUAAUAUAUGGAGGUGAACAGUUGCGAUUUUUUGCCUAACUCAUUCAAGUUCAAUCCUCUAUAAAUAGGUCCCUCCUUACUCAGUCGUUCGUUCUACUACACACUAUUUAUUCCUUGCUCUUGUUACACCUUCAACUACUUUCUCUUCAAGGACUUGAUCGCUUUUUCCUAUCU
rnacentral:lncRNA from 1 species